GGGGAUGUGGCUCAAGCGGUAAAGCGCUCGCCUGGCAUGCGCGGGGCGCUGGGUUCGAUCCUCAGCACCACA
rnacentral:tRNA from 1 species